CUAGGACAUCCGGGUUGGCAGAGUGUGCUAAAGCAGUGAAUAAAACAAACUUAGGGAGAAGGCUUCUAAUUUUAACAUGCAUGAAACCAAGGCUAUUACGGUUACAGAAGAGAGCGCAUGGGGAAUAGGAGUGGAGCUAGGUACUGCAGGGCCUGGAUUCAUCUCUACAUCACCAGAGGAACAGAGGAGGAGUAGGAUAAGGGUAUGGCUAAACGCUAUGAGAUCCCUAUAUGUCCGUUUGAAUCUCUUUUUCUCCUUUCUGGGAUUUGCAACCCUCUUCAAAGGUCAGAUAUUCCCUAUCUCUACAUGUAGUCAACCUGCAUAAAGCUGUGUUAACCCCAAUUGGCUGUGAGCCAGCCUACACACACUAACUCGUUUAACCAGCAGUCAUCUGAUCUGGCCAAUGCUCACAGUGUGCCCAAGCAUACUGUGAUAAUUAUCAUAUAAAUAGAUUUUAUGCAAAUGAUAUGAGCUGUUAUAUUCCGAAAUCCAGAGAUAAGUGAAAAUGAGAGGAAGGAACUUGACAGUGAGAGGAUUUGGGAUUUUACUUUAUCUGACUGACACCUCUCUUUACCCGCACCCACUUCUCUAUCUGUAUUCCCCCUUUCUUUUUCCCCUUUUCUCUUUCAUGACGCUGCUGGCUUUGGGAGGAGGGUGCUGGUCCUUGACUUGGUGGCUCCCACUCCUAAAGGCACUACCCAAACAAGGGCACUCCGUUCAUCCACCUCUGGCCUGCUCGCCUCCCUACCUCUGAGGAAGCACAGUUCCCGCUCAGCCCAGUCAAAACUGUUCGCUGCUCUGGCACCCCAAUGGUGGAACAAGCUCCCUCACGACGCCAGGACAGCGGAGUCAAUCACCACCUUCCGGAGACACCUGAAACCCCACCUCUUCAAGGAAUACCUGGGAUAGGAUAAAGUAAUCCUUCUAACCCCCCCCUUAAAAGAUUUAGAUGCACUAUUGUAAAGUGGUUGUUCCACUGGAUAUUAUAGGUGAAUGCACCAAUUUGUAAGUCUCUCUGGAUAAGAGCAUCUGCUAAAUGACUAAAAUGUAAAUGUAAAUGUGAUGCAGACAGUGUUUUCACCAUAUUGUCUAUUACUUCAUUACAUAAUGCCAUUUCUUGCUCAAUCAUUUUCUGAGCCGUUAUUGACUUUCGCUGUCCGCCAAGUCUUGCUGGUUCCAGUGUGAACGUGGGCAGUAUUCCCUGGAACCUCCUGCACCAAGCCUCUCUGCUGGGAAAAGCCAUCCAGGAUGCCCGGAAGUACGGCUGUAAGUUUGAGAAACAGGUGUCCCAUGGCUAGGGUGAUAUGGUGGAGACGGUACAUCAACAUGUGAAGUCUGUGAGCUUUGAGCUGAGGAGGGAGCUGAGGGACAGUGAUGUCACCUACCUGAACGCCCAUGGAGAGAUACAGGAGCCACACACUGUACAGAUCAGCAAGGGGGAGGGGCUUCUGGACAGGAGCGUGUGGUAGGUCUCCAUGUGAUGGGGCCCAGUGCAGAGGUGAUCAAGGGCUUUGCUGUGGCUCUGAAGUGUGGUCUGAUCAAACAGCAGCUGGACACCACUGUGGGACUCCACCCUGUUUGUGCCCAGGUGUUGACCAAACUGACAGUAACUCAGCAUGCCACUGACGCCAUGAUGGUCAGAAGGAACUGCUGAGGUUAGCCCCCUGCUGUCAAUCACUGUUGCCCAAGGCAACGGUACAGAUAGCAGGGAGAAGCCUGUCAGAACAUUUUCAUUGUUGCGUGACGGGCAGCUAUCAACUGUCCAAUGACGUCUGAGUCCGGAGACUGAUUGACAGGUGGGCGGGGACUGACGCUGCUGCUGGCCCUAGACACUGGGGUCACUUCCUGUUUACAUGUUUUUUUUUUUUUUUUUUACUUAGUUUUGCCAUAUUAAUGAACCAAACUUUGAUAUUAACCUGCGGAGGCACCUCUGACACCUUUCAGCUGUGAACUCUGCAGUCCAUAUGAAUACUCAUUAGUCUGUGACUGUACUGACUCGGUUUAAUGGCUGCUGAGUAGCAAUAAAGCCCUGAUUAAGCAUUUAAAUACUGUAGAAACACAGUUCAUGCUUUUAUGCAGGGUUCUGUAGCUACGGUCUGAAGGGUUUUAAGUGCCGUAAUGUAAUGAACAGAUCAAGAUUAAACUCAGAAUUAAGAGAAUUUUAUUAAUUAAUAUUUCUUAUUUUUAAUGAAAGUAAGUGGUUCACACAGGGAUACAUUAACCUAAGACUACAAUCUCUCUCACUGUCUUUUUCUCUCCCUCACUAUCUCUAUUUGUCUUUCUCUGUCUCAGUUCUGCAGGACAUAGUGACUGACUUAAACACUGUGAAUAUUCACAGAGAUCAUUAGUAAGGUCUCUCAUACUAUUGGGAUGAGAGACGGGGCAAAAGGCUGCAACACCUAGAAUGAUAGAGAACCCCCCCCCUAAUAAGGCUAUUAACAUCCGUCACUUCAGACACAAAUGUUAAUUCAGAGUAAGCACGUGUGUGUGCGCAUGGAUGAGUUUGUGCUGCACCUCUCUUUUAUGCAGAUAAUCACUGGUACUACCCCAUGGAACAUUGUAGAGGCAUGCUUCACUAACGAUUUAGUUCUGCUUGAGGAAGACAUUUUUUAUUACUGCUUACAGUUCAGCUUGUCCUCUAGACAGCCUUGCUAUUUAUUCCUUAUGCAGACACAUUGAGCAUUCUGAGACUGAUGUACCAAUAAGGAAAAGUACACCAGUCUACAAACGCUAUUAGAAUAUAAUUAGAUCAAUAGAAGGAAAGCGGAACAGUGUCUGUCUGGAGAUGUAUUUGAUAUCACCCAGAACAAGUUAUUAGGAAUACCAUUCGGCUAUGUCUCCAAUUGUCCUCGUUAUAAUCAUAACGAUACCUUGAUUAAAAUUUGUCACUUUGCUUGGGAUCUUUUCAGAAGGUAUUUCUAUUGGUUUUUAGAAUAGACCACUGUGGACUUGCUCAAUAAAGAUCCACAGUGAAGGUGUCCUAAUACCCAUAAAACCUAGCGGUCAAACAGGAAAAUGGUUCCAAUCGUUUUUCCACCAUUCAUUUUUCACAUUGGGGAUUUUAGAAACACUUAAGGGCUGUGUUUCAUGUAGGCUUACCAUGCCGUGACAUUUUGAUAUCCAUGUAAAUCUCUUUCAGACAAGCCCCACAUUAUUUGCAAAAAAAUAAUAAAUGUUAUUUUUUGGGGGUGGGGGGUUGCCUGUUUUGCAUGUUAUUUUGGUGUUAAUGUGUCACAUCAGUUUGCAAACAAUGUAAAAAUAUAUAUAUCAUA